GUGUGUGUGUGUACGUGUGUGUCAGUAUGUCUGCCAGGAUAUAUUUGUGUGUCAGUGUAUGUGUGUGUCAGUAUGUAUCUGUGAAUGUUUUAAUGUCUGUCUGUGUGUGUGUGUCAGCAUGUCUUUGUGUGUCAGUAUGUCUGUGUGUGUAUGUAAGUAUGUCUGUGUGUGUAUGUGUGUGUCAGUCAGUAUGUCUGUCAGUGUAUGUGUCUGUGUG